ACUUUGGAAAGUUUCUGCGGAAAACACUUGGAGAAUACGUUUCAAAGUUAUGAAAGUGUACGUAAAAGGAUAACAAGAUAGGAAAGGACAAGGGAAAAGAUAGCGUGAGGCUCCCAUGGCCCUCAUAAACACGUCAAAUCGCCCACAUAGCCUCUUUCUUAUCACUCCAAUCGCCCACCUAGCUUCCAUUAGCUCCAAUCGCCCACAUAGCCACUCUCUCAUCACUCCAAUUGCCCACAUAGCUUCCAUGAGCUCCAAUCACCCACAUAGCCUCCCUCUCAUCACUCCAAUCGCCCACAUAGCUUCCAUGAGAUCCAAUUGCUCACAUAAGACUCUCUCUCAUCGCACAAUCUCUUCCAAUCGCCGACAUAUCUUUCAUGAGAUCCAAUCGCCCACAUAGCUUUCAUGAGAUCCAAUCGCCCACAUAGAAUCUCUAUCAUCACACGACCUCUUCCAAUUUGCCACAUAGACUCUCUCUCAUCACACAAGCUCUUCCAGUCGCCCACAUAGACUCUCUCUCAUCACACAAUAUCUUCCAAUCUCCGACAUAGACUUUCUAUCAUCACACAAGCUCUUCUAAUCGCCCACAUAAACUCUCUCUCAUCACACAAGCUCUUCCAAUCUCCCACAUAGACUCUCUCUCAUCACUCUUUAGUUCUCAAAUCGCCCACAUAGCU
rnacentral:lncRNA from 1 species